rnacentral:rRNA from 1 species
GACGAACGCUGGCGGCGUGCUUAACACAUGCAAGUCGAACGGAAAGGCCCUGCUUUUGUGGGGUGCUCGAGUGGCGAACGGGUGAGUAACACGUGAGUAACCUGCCCUUGACUUUGGGAUAACUUCAGGAAACUGGGGCUAAUACCGGAUAGGAGCUCCUGCUGCAUGGUGGGGGUUGGAAAGUUUCGGCGGUUGGGGAUGGGCUCGCGGCUUAUCAGCUUGUUGGUGGGGUAGUGGCUUACCAAGGCUUUGACGGGUAGCCGGCCUGAGAGGGUGACCGGCCACAUUGGGACUGAGAUACGGCCCAGACUCCUACGGGAGGCAGCAGUGGGGAAUAUUGCACAAUGGGCGGAAGCCUGAUGCAGCAACGCCGCGGGCGGGAUGACGGCCUUCGGGUUGUAAACCGCUUUCGCCUGUGACGAAGCGUGAGUGACGGUAAUGGGUAAAGAAGCACCGGCUAACUACGUG